rnacentral:rRNA from 1 species
CGGGAUUGAAGCUUGCUUCAAUUGCCGGCGACCGGCGCACGGGUGAGUAACGCGUAUCCAACCUUCCGUACACUCAGGGAUAGCCUUUCGAAAGAAAGAUUAAUACCUGAUGGUAUGAUGAGAUUGCAUGAUAGCAUCAUUAAAGAUUUAUCGGUGUACGAUGGGGAUGCGUUCCAUUAGGUAGUAGGCGGGGUAACGGCCCACCUAGCCAACGAUGGAUAGGGGUUCUGAGAGGAAGGUCCCCACAUUGGAACUGAGACACGGUCCAAACUCC